GUUUGAGCACAGCGUCCUCCCAUAAUUCCGGCGCGAGUGUUUACCGCUUGGGGUGAAAGGUCAAAGGCGAGAGCACAUCGAGUCUGAAGCACAUCUUUCCUGAUGCUAACAAAGAUGCUAGCGCCGCGACUGGAUGUAGCCGGGCUCGUCAAACUACACUGGGAGAGUUCAGCCAGGAUAUCCGUACAUCCAUCCAUUUUCCAAUAUUGAUCCAGGAUCAUGGCAGCAGAAGGCAAAGCAAGGUAAGCCAAAUGUCCCGCUCUCUAACCAUGUCUCCAUCUUUUCCUGGAGGAUCCCGAGGCAUUCCCAGGUCAGAUGGGAUAUUAAAUCCCUCCACUGUAUUCUAGGAUUGCCCAUGUUUUUGUGUGUGGACUACCUCCACAGGUAGGAAACCAGGAGACAUCUGAAUCAGAUGCCCAAAACCUCUUGGAUGACUCAACAUAAAAGAGCAGCAGUUUGACUCUGAGCUCCCUCUGCAUGUCUGAGCUCCCCACCCUCUGUAAGGGUGUGCUCAGCCACCCUGUACUGGAAACUCAUUUCAGCCAUGUGCAAUCUCAUUCCUUCGAUCAUUACCUAAAGCUAAUGACUAUAAGUGAGGGUUGAAACGCAGAUUGACUGGUAAAUUGAAGGCUUUACCCUCAGGCUCAGCUUUCUCUUCACCACAACAGUCUAGUGCAGUAUCUACAUUAUUGGUGACCUGGCACCAGUCUGCCCGUCAAUCUCACCCUCCAUCUUACCCUCACUCAAACAUACUUGAGGUUCUUCACUUGGUGCAGUGACUCACUUAAAACCCAAAAGGAGUCAUCCAUCAUGUACUCUAUCCUCAUUAUGUGUUGCUUCACACAUGGUCACAAAUCAUCCAGUGCACACUGGAAAUCAUGGUUUGGUGAUCUGCAGAAAGCAACAAUGCAAUCCUGAGGCCACCAUAUCAGACACUCUCAACACCUUGGCUUUGCCUCAAAAUUCUAUCCUUGAAAAUCACAAGCAGAAUAUGUUACAAGACGAAACCCUGGUGUAGCCCAGUGCCCACUGAGAACACACUUGCCACCCUGCUGAGAAUGUGGACACAGCUCCCAUUCCAGGUAUCGAAGGACCAAAUAGCUCAUAGUAACAACCCUGGUGACACAAUAUUUCCCGAGGGACCCAGUCAUAAGCUCUCUAAAAGUCUGUAAACAUGGAUAGCAAACUCCCAUGACCCCUCAAGAAUCCCUUCUAAGUUAAACAGUUCGUCCACUGUUCUCGAUCAGGACAGAUUUGGUAUUACCUCUUCUGAAUUCCCUGGAAGGUCGAGCAAUGUGAUAUCCUAAUAACUGACACGCACACUGCGGUUCCCUUUUUAAAAAAUGGGAACCACCAUGCUGGUCUGCCAGUCCAAAGGCACUGUCCCCAGCCUCCACAUGACAGUGAGGAGGCAGAGCCGCAAUGCCCCAAGCCUUCAGUAUCUCAAGGCAAAUUUCGUCCACCCCUAACGUCUUGCCACUGUGGAGCUUUUUGACUACAUCAGUGACCUCUGCUAGUUAAAUGAACAAGGCGUCCCCUGAUCCUUCCAGCUCUGUCACCUCCAUUAGGGAUGUGUCGGUCAGGUUCAGGAGUUCCUCUGAGAGUUCAUUCCUUUCACCAUCCAACAAUAUCCACAAUCAAGGUCAGCAGUUUUUCUCUCAUGCUGAAAACAACCUGGGCUAAGGCCUGCCUCCCUGAACUCCACCCAUACACCAAAUACUCCUAUAGUUUUGUU